GACGAACGCUGGCGGCGUGCCUAAUACAUGCAAGUUGAGCGCUGAAGGUUGGUACUUGUACCAACUGGAUGAGCAGCGAACGGGUGAGUAACGCGUGGGGAAUCUGCCUUUGAGCGGGGGACAACAUUUGGAAACGAAUGCUAAUACCGCAUAAAAACUUUAAACACAAGUUUGAAGUUUGAAAGAUGCAAUUGCAUCACUCAAAGAUGAUCCCGCGUUGUAUUAGCUAGUUGGUGAGGUAAAGGCUCACCAAGGCGAUGAUACAUAGCCGACCUGAGAGGGUGAUCGGCCACAUUGGGACUGAGACACGGCCCAAACUCCUACGGGAGGCAGCAGUAGGGAAUCUUCGGCAAUGGACGAAAGUCUGACCGAGCAACGCCGCGUGAGUGAAGAAGGUUUUCGGAUCGUAAAACUCUGUUGGUAGAGAAGAACGUUGGUGAGAGUGGAAAGCUCAUCAAGUGACGGUAACUACACAGAAAGGGACGGCUAACUACGUG
rnacentral:rRNA from 1 species